UUUGAGCACUGGUCCCUGUACGUGCAUCAGAACGGGCUGGUGUGAGCCGUGGCUGCCUGUCCGGGGAUUUACGUAGAAACCUUGCCCCUUGGUCAUGCAGUUUAGGGCCUUCACCCUUCCAGGCAUACUUAGGUGUACCUAUACUGGUGUCACCUCAAAAGUAUGGUAGCAGUGCUUACCCGGAUACCCCCCUUUCUCCGUGUCAAUAGUGGACAACUUGGUAUUGCUCAGU